rnacentral:rRNA from 1 species
UACGUAGGGCGCGAGCGUUAUCCGGAAUUAUUGGGCGUAAAGAGCUCGUAGGCGGUUUGUCACGUCUGCUGUGAAAACUGGAGGCUCAACCUCCAGCCUGCAGUGGGUACGGGCAGACUAGAGUGCGGUAGGGGAGAUUGGAAUUCCUGGUGUAGCGGUGGAAUGCGCAGAUAUCAGGAGGAACACCGGUGGCGAAGGCGGUUCUCUGGGCAUUACCUGACGCUGAGGAGCGAAAGCGUGGGGAGCGAACAGG